AGAGUUUGAUCAUGGCUCAGGACGAACGCUGGCGGCGUGCCUAAUACAUGCAAGUAGAACGCUGAAGAAAGGAGCUUGCUUCUUUUGGAUGAGUUGCGAACGGGUGAGUAACGCGUAGGUAACCUGCCUUGUAGCGGGGGAUAACUAUUGGAAACGAUAGCUAAUACCGCAUAACAGCUUUUGACACAUGUUAGAAGCUUGAAAGAUGCAAUUGCAUCACUACGAGAUGGACCUGCGUUGUAUUAGCUAGUAGGUAGGGUAACGGCCUACCUAGACGACGAUACAUAGCCGACCUGAGAGGGUGAUCGGCCACACUGGGACUGAGACACGGCCCAGACUCCUACGGGAGGCAGCAGUAGGGAAUCUUCGGCAAUGGGGGCAACCCUGACCGAGCAACGCCGCGUGAGUGAAGAAGGUUUUCGGAUCGUAAAGCUCUGUUGUAAGAGAAGAACGUGUGUGAGAGUGGAAAGUUCACACAGUGACGGUAACUUACCAGAAAGGGACGGCUAACUACGUGCCAGCAGCCGCGGUAAUAUGUAGGUCCCGAGCGUUGUCCGGAUUUAUUGGGCGUAAAGCGAGCGCAGGCGGUUUAAUAAGUCUGAAGUUAAAGGCAGUGGCUUAACCAUUGUUCGCUUUGGAAACUGUUAAACUUGAGUGCAGAAGGGGAGAGUGGAAUUCCAUGUGUAGCGGUGAAAUGCGUAGAUAUAUGGAGGAACACCGGUGGCGAAAGCGGCUCUCUGGUCUGUAACUGACGCUGAGGCUCGAAAGCGUGGGGAGCAAACAGGAUUAGAUACCCUGGUAGUCCACGCCGUAAACGAUGAGUGCUAGGUGUUAGGCCCUUUCCGGGGCUUAGUGCCGCAGCUAACGCAUUAAGCACUCCGCCUGGGGAGUACGACCGCAAGGGUUGAAACUCAAAGGAAUUGACGG
rnacentral:rRNA from 1 species